GUGAUAAUGACUGGGAUCAGACUCUGCUGACUGCCGAUGCUGGGUGCUGAGCCCACGGCCUCUGUCCUCAAUCCUCAGUCCCAGGUUCCUAAGUCUGGCAGACUUCACAGAAGGACAUGUGCCCACCAAUUUAAACACUCCAGGAGAGAUGGAAAGCCCACUUGUGCUAUGCAAGCACACGCCCAUAGCAAGCACCCCUCAGAUUGUCCCUUCAUCUCCUCUUGGUCAGGGGUGGCUGGAAAUGUGAGCUCCUUUGUCCUGUCCCUGGAAGAGGACAUUUUCCUUCCCCUGGAUCCAGCAGUGCCGUGAGAGAAGGGGUCAGUGUUACAGACCAAGGUUAUCAUUCACCAACCUUCACACCUCCAGUGACUCAGGUAAAUCCUGAAACCUCAGUUUACUCAUCUCUAUGUGAAGCUACCUCAGUCCUACCCAGAAUACCUUGAGUGGAAACAGAAGGCCAUGUGAGCUGAAGCCCAGGACUGAAGUGGAAACCCAGGCUCCCUGAGCCCCUCCCCACUAGUCUCAUACCUAGUCCUCCACUUCCGCUAUCCCAAAUCCACCUGGUGGGGGCUGUAUUUAAAAUCAAGGGGAAAUUGCUUCUCAUUAAACUGAAGUUGGUUAGCUCUCUUA